rnacentral:rRNA from 1 species
UACGUAGGGUGCAAGCGUUAAUCGGAAUUACUGGGCGUAAAGCGUGCGCAGGCGGUGAUGUAAGACAGUUGUGAAAUUCCCGGGCUCAACCUGGGAACUGCAUCUGUGACUGCAUCGCUGGAGUGCGGCAGAGGGGGAUGGAAUUCCGCGUGUAGCAGUGAAAUGCGUAGAUAUGCGGAGGAACACCGAUGGCGAAGGCAAUCCCCUGGGCCUGCACUGACACUGAGGUGCGAAAGCGUGGGGAGCAAACAGG